GACCAUUUCUCUCUUUCUAUGUUAAUUAUUUUUAAAUAUUUAUUUUUAAUUCGUUUGUCUUUCCCUUCCCUUUCUUAAAAUUAAAUAUGAAACUGUGAAGGGACAAAUUGUUUGAAUCUAUAAACGUAUACAAUUUGUAAAUAAUGGAGUUUCAAGUAAUUUUUUUAUAAAAUAAAGAUAUUUUGCUAUAUAUUGUAAUAGAAGAUAUAGUUUUCAUUUCCCAUGAACAAAAUGUAAAAAUAAUUAUGAGGAAAAAACACUAGAAAUUAUGGAAUUUUGACCUAUCUCUUUGUGGUGCCAAUGUGAUUAAAGAUGAAGAUGAAUCGUUUUAUAUUUUAAAUAAAAAGAUUUUAGAUUUAUUUAGUAUUAUUUAAUGUGGACAAUGACAAUUACUUUUACUUUUAUUAUACAUUUUCGUUGUCAACCUUUUCAAAGUCUAAAUCUUACACAAAACCAAAGUUAACCCUUCCUAUUACUUAAUAGAAACCACCAAACAUUAUAAAAUAUAAUUAGAAGUAUAGUUUGCAUUAAGAGAUAUUAGGCUUAUCAGUAACUUAUGAGGGCAUUCGUGACAUUUUAUCUUUUGUAUAUGUGAGUUGGAUUUUGUUUUAUCAUUUUUACAAACAAUAAAUGUGUGCGUACUCCGUGCUCUAUAAAUAUUUUGAUUGAUUUUUGUUAAAUUUGAAAAUGACACCUAAAAAAAAAGUUUAAGAAUACUUUAUAGAAAUUAUAAAAACUUAAAAAAGCGAAUGAAGGACCAUUAUGCGAGUAGUUGAAAACUAAUGGAUAUAAUAUAAAUAAAUGAGGCCACAUUGAUUAUAAGCCCAAAUAUUUCCUAACCCAAAUGUUGGGAGGUGAAGCCGAAAAAAAAAAAAAGAGGAUUCUGUCACCUCCACCAUCGCUGAGAUCAGUUGCGAAUUACUAUCUUUGUCAAUCAAGUCGAAUUUUCAUGGUCGGCUAGUCACGUAAGUGGCCGGUUCUUGUGGUGACGAUAUGGAUUGAUGCAUUCACCGACACCAAGUUCGAUUUCUCGGCCUACUCUUCUAAACUGAAAUCGAUAUUAGAAAAUGAUUAAAUAUCAUUCGUAUUGGAUUUGUUGGCCUUACAAAUAGAUUCACACUAUCACUUAUUCCUCAUCCAACAAAAGAAAGGAUGACUCUGUCGUCAAUGAUCCAACUUCUACUAGGAAACGAUCGAGCAUUUGCCGUCAGAUCCACCUCCCUAGUAGGACCGAUUAGACGUUUUUGUUGUCAGCAAUCCAACAUCUUCUAGAGGACAAUCAGACAUUUUUGCCAAUCCACCUCCCUAUUAAGAGCGUUCAGACAUUUUUACUGUCAGUAAUUCAACUUCUUCUAGGGAACAAUCAGACAUUUUUGCCGUCAGCGAUCCAAUUUCUUUUAGGGGACGAUCAGACUUUUGCCUUUUAGGGGACGAUCAGACUUUUGCCGUCAGAUCCACCUCUCUACUAGGAGUGAUCAGACAUCUCGGUUCUGCUUCGUCAUAAGCAAUUGAGCUUAUUCGUUCUUUUUUUUCUUUUUUUCUUUCUUUUAUUGUUUUUUUUCUUUUUUUCUUUCUUUUUUUCUUUCUUUUAUUGUUUUUUUUAUUGUUUUUUUCUUUUU